UUUUAGGAGGGGCAAAGAGUACGACCUCUUGUACAGCUUGCCCUCAUAAAGGAUAUAUCGGGAGGCCUGGUUUCUAAGCUUCCGAGCUUCUUUUGCAUCAUGAGGAAGAACCCCGUCUUUGAGGUAUGCAACCAGUGGGUCAAUCCAGCUGGGUUCAUGGCUGAUGUCCAUUACAAGCUGCAGUUCUUCCGUACUUGGACAUUUCAUAACUUCAAAGAGGACUUUCUUGAGUAGUUC
rnacentral:lncRNA from 1 species